rnacentral:rRNA from 1 species
GACGAACCGUACGAACGUUAUUCGGAAUCACUGGGCUUAAAGGGUGCGUAGGCUGUGCGGAAAGUUGGGUGUGAAAUACCUCAGCUUAACUGAGGAACUGCAUUCAAAACUACCGUGCUAGAGGAAGAUAGAGGUGAGCGGAACUUAGGGUGGAGCGGUGAAAUGCGUUGAGAUCGGGAGGAACAUCCGUGGCGAAGGCGACUACCUGGACCAGCACUGACACUGAGGCACGAAAGCGUGGGGAGCAAACAGG